UUUAGGAGAAAAAAUAUAAGUUAGAUUAGUAUUAGUUAUAUACUUUAAAAUUAAAAAAUUUGGCGGUGAUUUAAUCUUUUCAGAGGAAUUUGUUUUUUAAUCGAUAAUCCACGAAAAAUCUUACUUACUUUUGUUGAUAUAAUAAAUCAGUUUGUAUACCAUCAUUGCAGAUAAUUCUAAAAAGAAAAAUUAUUAAAUAUAAAUAAUUAUUAAAAUUAGAUCAAGGUGCAGCUCAUAAGUAAGUUAAAAUGAAUUACAAUAAAUUAUUUUAUAAUGAAUUAAUAAGAUAAACAUUAUUAUGAAGGAGGAUUUGAUAGUAUUAUAAUUUUAAUAAGUUUAUAAGAUAGCAGCUCUAAAUCAUGUACAUAUCGCCCGUCGCUUU
rnacentral:rRNA from 1 species